rnacentral:rRNA from 1 species
AGAGUUUGAUCAUGGCUCAGAUUGAACGCUGGCGGCAUGCUUUACACAUGCAAGUCGAACGGUAACGCGGGGGCAACCCUGGCGACGAGUGGCGAACGGGUGAGUAAUACAUCGGAACGUGUCCUGAGGUGGGGGAUAACCUAUCGAAAGGUAGGCUAAUACCGCAUACGCUCGGGAGAGGAAAGCGGGGGAUCGGUAACGACCUCGCGCUGCAGGAGUGGCCGAUGUCCGAUUAGCUAGUUGGUGGGGUAAAGGCUUACCAAGGCGACGAUCGGUAGCUGGUCUGAGAGGAUGAUCAGCCACACUGGGACUGAGACACGGCCCAGACUCCUACGGGAGGCAGCAGUGGGGAAUUUUGGACAAUGGGGGCAACCCUGAUCCAGCCAUGCCGCGUGAGUGAAGAAGGCCUUCGGGUUGUAAAGCUCUUUCGGUGGGAACGAAACGGUUACCACUAACACUGGUGACUACUGACGGUACUCACAGAAGAAGCACCGGCUAACUACGUGCCAGCAGCCGCGGUAAUACGUAGGGUGCGAGCGUUAAUCGGAAUUACUGGGCGUAAAGCGUGCGCAGGCGGUGGCUCAAGCCAGGCGUGAAAUCCCCGGGCUUAACCUGGGAAUGGCGUUUGGGACUGGGUCGCUAGAGUGUGGCAGAGGGAGGUGGAAUUCCACGUGUAGCAGUGAAAUGCGUAGAGAUGUGGAGGAACACCGAUGGCGAAGGCAGCCUCCUGGGCCAGCACUGACGCUCAUGCACGAAAGCGUGGGGAGCAAACAGGAUUAGAUACCCUAGUAGUCC